AGACUGCUUCCUGAAUUAUUUUCAAGAAAAGACAAACAUCCUAUCAUUGCAUCCACAAAUAUUUCAGUGAAAGAAGUAAGACAGAGAAUUUCAGUGACUUAUCCAAGGUCACUUGGCUAUUACAUGGUAAAGUUGGGAUUUGAACCCAGCUCAAUACACACAGAACAGAAGAUAGGAAGUGGAGGCUUAACCAAUUAUCUGGUGGCUGCAGAAUGCGUAGUUCGAGAAUCUUGAUAAUUA